rnacentral:lncRNA from 1 species
UAGCAGCCUAAUCUUGUGUCUGUAGGCACUGGGUGCUGACUAUUGUGGCAAGGUUCUUGACUUGGGUGAGACUCUGAUCCCUUAGACCCCUUGGUACUGGCUACUACUGUUUAGCUAAUGGGAAAAGUUUGUUUUAUUUCAAAGCAGAGCAGAUAAAUUCACAGAGGUGGACAUUACAACAUGCAGUGACUGUCUUUGGGAGAAUGACAAGGCCAGGACUAAACCUUAGAAUAAUAUUGACUGGAAUGUAAAGAUUGGUGCCCUCUGCAACCACUCUGAAGGUGCGUCCUGUCUCCACUCCCCCCUCAGCCUGCAAGGGCAGUGCUGGGCUGUGACUGACCUUGUUCCUUUCCCACAUGGCAGGAUUUCAGAGAUGCCAGCUGUCAUGGAUGCUUUUCUCCAGCCCUCCACAAGUCACACACCUCAAGCCCCACUCCUACAUGUGGCCACUGUGCUUAUCUUUCUCUAUGAACAUGCUGUUGUUUAAUGAUAUAGGGCCAAAGGAGUCAGCCAUCCAUCUUCGUUUGAUUUUUGCUGACACAGGAGCUUCCCAGGCCAGGGCAAGGUCACCCAGGGGCUGUUAGCCCUUAUUUGCAUGCUUGUGCUCCUCCUAACCACCUUCUAGAAGUUACAUCUGAAAGAUUUGGGCCAAUAUCAUGGGGCACAGCCGGGAACACCGCUUGGCUUUCUGCAUGGAUGUGUUUACUGUUCCCUAUGCACAUUUUGGGCUCCUGGAUGUCACAACAUGUUUCUGCUCUUUCUUCUGUGCUCUAAGAUAGGCUUGAGUAUGGAGGGCCCAGUUACAGAAUGCCAUGAUACCACCUCACAAUGCUUACAGUAAUUUCAGUGUCACGUUGUGAUUAUUUCAGGGCCAUUUUGAACCAUGACUGGAGAGAAUCGUGGCCCUCAGCACAUUGGGAUAGAAGCCAUGAGCAGGAGCAGCAGAGCCGGAGAAGGAGCAAGCAGGCCAGACAUAAAGGCCUGGUUCUGAAGUCAGAGUGCAGCAGAGAAGAGAUGAAGAGGCUCAAGGAGAAUGAUGUGCAGAAGCUUUCUCCCUGUGAAAUCCCGAUCUCAGCAGCACAUCUUCCACAUAAUGGCAGGGACCUGUCUGCUCAGCUCUGAGCUUUUGGUGGUGCAUAUUUUUGAAGUAUUGGAGGAGAGAUGAGUGAGGGAGGGAGGAAGAAACAGAACUUCCCCAAUUCCACAGGAGUGAUUGUGUGUUACUUAUGUUACACCUUGCAAAUUGAGUCUUCACAACAAAAGUCAGUGCCAUUUCUAAUCCUUUCUAUACUGCAUAAAAUAGCUUUAUAUAUUUCCCCAACAUAUGGUUUAUGCUUUGCAAGUAGUAAAAUUUAUAUAUCUUGGUCUCUUUCCAAAUCAUGAACAAAUAUCAUGCAAUGGAGUUGACAUUUUAGUCCAAAAAGUGUUCACAAAUCAGUGUGGCUGCUGACUGAACCUUGUGAUGUACAAUGCAACUUUUCCCCAGCACAGGCAAGUCCCAGGUCACUAUUGGACAGAGGAAAGACAGGUAUAUGGUACCUUUCUCCAUUAAUAACCCUUUGUUUUUAGCCAAGUUUUGCCCUGAAAUUAAAGGCAGAUACAAAUGAAUAAAAUGGCCCUCAUAAAAUGUCUUGAUCUUUAAACCUACUUUGUCAUAACCGUUCAGUGCCUAAGCACAUACAGCAAUAUCAGGGCAGCUCUGCCCAAAUUCUACAAAGCCAGCAUUCUCCUGGGUCAGGAGAAGCUUAUGUCUCCCUGUUGCUCCAGUGGGACAAUCUGAAUAUUGCCACCCACAGGAGGUCCUGGGGCCUUCAGCUUCAGCUCCACUCUAUGAUGGUCUUACCUGUAGAGCCUUAAGCCUGCCUGAACCUGCCAUACAGAAGCAAAGUGGGGUUUUUCAAGAGAUACAGGCUAUGGGCCCCUGCUUGAGAGGGAGGAUCCUGGCCUGGAGGCUCUACCCUAGCUCCACCCCUCUCUGGAACUGUUUCUGAUUCAUCUGGGUUCUAGAGUGCAGG